UGAAACGUGUAUCUCUGUGUAACCUGUAUCAUAACUUUAUUAUGCCAAUAGAAAUGCAAAUCCCAUCUAGUUUAUUCUCCAAAUCCAUUUUCCUCCUGGUUGAAAUCCACCAGUCGUUUGCCACCCACUCAACAUACGGCACACGAUUUUGGAAAGCGUUUUUGGGGCGUCAGGCGUGACGGUCAAUGAUCACAAUUUGGGCAACGAAUGCCGUCGCAGCAACAACAAAUCUGAUCAUCUAUUGCCCAUUAGUUGUUGUUGGUCUGGUUGUUGGUCGGUGUUGACGCACUCUAAUAAUUUUGCUGGACAAAGUUUGUUGUUUGCAGUUCGCGUGGAGGCAUGCCGAUGAAUAUGAGGGAAUUCCCAUGUAGGAAAGAGUUUCAAACUAAUUAAAAAUAAUGAGUAAUUACAAUUUAGAUAAGAAAAGUUACGCUUUAUAUAUCUGCAUAUUAUUUAAAGGGUUGCAAUCAAAUUAUUGUCAUCUAGAAAAGCGGACGGCAUUUCUUUACCUAUCUAAAUAUUUAUAUACAUAUACUCCAUAACUUAGCUGACUUCUUUUACUUUACAAUUAUGAGUAAAUAGUAAUAUUAUAGUCCCUAUUUCCCAUAGAAAGUAUAUAAUUAUUUUAAAAUUGACCACAAAAGAGCAUUUCCCUUGUGGCGUGUGAAAGCAGGCAAUGAAUUUAGUCUGCUCCCACCUUUUGGCCCGGCAGAGUCUUUAAUAAUUUAAUUUAGCUGGAAAAGUUGAACACGCAAACCUCGUAGCUCCAUCGUCCGAUUGUCCGAUCGCCCAAUCCUCAUUUCUCACUCCUGGACAGGGAAUGUUUUGUUCGCAGCAGUUUGCUGGCAUGCAAUCUGUCCAUAAGAUACUUUUACUUGCUAUCCUUUACAAUGCGACGACUUCCGUUUUUUAUCGAACUCUCUGUGAUUUCCGCCUUGGACGUUCAACGACUCUGAGUUGGACAAAACUUUUGCGUGACUCGAAAAGCCCAUGUGAGUUAUUUGCUUGCUUGGAUAGAAAUAUAUAAUAUAAUAUAUAUGAGUUGAAUUACUCACAAUGCAGUCGAUUCAUAAUGUGUGAGCCACGCCUGCCUGCCUGGACAUGUCACACUCGUCCACUUGUU